GUGGGGAGCGGCUCAGGCUAUACUGCAGGUCCCGCGGCGCCGAGGGCGGCCCUGCGACAGGGGGGCGGCGCUGAGUGGGGCCAGGCGGGGACGCUGGAGCGCGGGGCAUGGGGGCGCGGACACCCGGCAUGGGGAGCGGCCGGAAGAGGAAUCAGAGAAACGCUUUAUCGACGGACAGACUGAUUGAAACAGGAUCCCAUGCAACCUGGGCUCAAGCUAACCAUGUAGCUGAAGCAGCCCCCACCAGGCCUACCCUGAGCACUGCAGAGAGCUCCUGGCUCCUGACCCAUGAUGUCUCACACCCACUUCCUCCCGGCAGCUGAGUUGUGUAUCUCUCCAAAGUCCAGUUCCAACAGCACCUCUUUUGGGAAGUUUGCCCUGGAUUUCCCCCCACUCUUCCACUGCCCUGGGAGGAAGUGAUGCCAUUAUAAACGACUUUCAUCUGGUCUCAGCCACGGAGAGGGAGCAUGGCACAAACCAUAGAUCUCUGGUCUCUAAGCAUCCACAAUUUUAUCAUCUGCUGUGAGCCAGGUGUUUUUCCAAGCUCUGAAAACACACCACGAAGUAGACAAACAUCUGACCCCCCUACCCCGUCACAGCCGCCUCCGCACCUGGCAGAGCAUGGAGAGAGGGCGAGAGUUAGUACUUCCUCCAACAUCUGGCUAUGGAGACCAAGAACACCUCCAUCUGACCCACAUAUCCUCUCCUGCAGUCUAAGUGGGGACAAGCCACCCUCCGUUUGAGGACAGCUAGCCAUCUCCACUCUGGACCCCCGCCUUUCACCCCUCCUCAAUGUCAACAUUCCAUCUGUCAUCUCCCUUACUGGUCUUUUGCAGUCCUCCCUCUCUGCUGCCUCUUUCCAGUGAUGUCACUAGCGGGUGGAGCGAAAAAGCAAUCCAUUUCCAUGCAGGCAUAAGGGCUCUGGCUAUAGACUAUUUUAAAACAAUCCUAAAACUGACUAAAAGUUGUCCUGCUUUUUAUUAGCAACAUGCGUCAGCACUUUUAACCCACGUCGGUAAUAAAACA